rnacentral:lncRNA from 1 species
GACUGUAUUCCUUUAAAAGUGAUUUUAUAUAUAUAUAUAUUUAGUUUCAGUUUCAAAAAAGUAUCUGCAACUAAACACAGACUCUCCAACCAGCUUUGUUUCAUACCCUUAACAUGCCCCCCAUUUAUCGAUUAGUCUUGUACUGCAUUCAGUGUCAUAAUAGAACCAUGUCUAUUGAGAUUACUUUAUACUCCAGUCUCCACAUUGUAUCACGGAAUAGCAUCUGAGAAAAAAGAAGUGAAUUUAGAUAAUUAUUCAUAUUCUAACUUCAAACAAAAAGGAAAUGACAUACUAAAGUAAUCCCUUCGUAUAGACACAUUUCUAUUGUAGAUAGUAUGCAUAAAAGGACCAAAAUAAUUUGGUCUCAACUAAAACAAUAAAAAGACCAGAAAGGAAGACCAAGCUUCUCUCUUGAUUCUUAGCGAAGUAAUUUUGUAUCACUACUCUAUCCACGAAAGAUAUAUAACUCAAAUUCUACAUAUGCGUCGAAUUAAUUGGAGACGAACCAAAAAAAGCAAUACAUAAAACAUUUCAUUCUAUCGUUUGUAGUCAUUAUGUUACUCUAAUUUUUUAAUUCAUCAAUAUCAUUUGUUACAACUAAUAUAAUAUCCACUUUACAAAAGUCCUUCAUGUGUAUCAGGAAACUCGGCACACAAAAUUGAAAAAUACCCAUAAGUAUUAUUUGGAGAAACAUAUUUUAUCAGGAAACUCGGCACACAAAAUUGAAAAAUACCCAUAAGUAUUAUUUGGAGAAACAUAUUUUAUCCUUCAAUUGCUGGAGCGGCGAAAUUGAAAAUGUCAAAAGAAAGAUCAAUGUACAUAAAAUAUUUAUUGCUGCAGAAACCAAUAUUUAGAACCUGUAAAUAGAGAGUAAAAUUAAUAUCAUGCUUAAAUGAGAGAGUUUUCAAGUUUUUCAGCCGCUUCCUUCCUUUCCAUGGAAAACAAACGCCAUCAUUCCAUAGAAAUUUUAGAAAGAAGAUCUUUAAAUGCAUAUAUAACAAAAUCCUUAGAAAACUUAAAUAUGAAAAAGAUUAAAUAUCUAUUGUAACUGCUCAAUGAUCAUCUGUAUAUUGUUGAGUGAAAACUUUAUCUUUUAUUGAUAUAGUUAUAAAUACUAUAAAAUCUAUUUAUCUUUUAAAAUGUCUCAUGAGUAUAAAAUUGGAAUAAUUUUCUUUAGUAUGUUACUAUACAAAAAGAAACAAAGAUGAAAAAAAUAGUGGAAAGCACAAAGAAGACGUGAAAAGAGAAGGAACAAUUUACCACCGAAAAAAAUGAGAGAUAAAAAAGAUGAAGACAUCAACAGUGAAACAUUAUUUACAAUUAUUUGGAUACUCAGUCUCCUUCUUAUCAUUACCAUGACCAAACAAAAAGCAAAAGAUAAGUAAGGAAAAAAGAAGGGAUUAGAAAAAUGAAAACCAUAAGAAAUUUAGUGAAUAGGUGAAGAUUUUUACUGGCACAAAUUAACAAUAUCCAAUUAUGUACUUUCAGAUUAUUUUCACCGGUAACUUUCUUCUUCUUUUUUGAUUUUUUCUCUGCCUUAGGUGCCAUUGCAUUUGAAACGUGAGACGUUUGAUAGAAACGGCAACUGAAGACGUGUGCUUUGGCUUGAAACCAUUCUUAAAAAAGAUUACAGUAACUAUUGCAUGCCUUAGAUGUCUCCUCAUUAUUAGGAGUUGCAACUGUAAUUGAACGUGAAUUGAGAAGAACAUAAAGUAACUGUAUUUUCUUUAAUUAAACGUGAUUGACAAAAAAAUGAAGUGACUGUAUUC